CGGCAACAGCUCAAAUUUGAAAUCUGGCCUCUCGGGGUCCGAGUUGUAAUUUGUAGAGGAUGUUUUGGGUACCGCCCCGGUCUAAAUUUCUUGGAACAGAAUGUCAAAGAGGGUGAGAGCCCCGUCU
rnacentral:rRNA from 1 species